GACGUAGGGCGCGAGCGUUGUCCGGAUUUAUUGGGCGUAGAGAGCUCGUAGGCGGUUUGUUGCGUCGGCUGUGAAAACCCAUGGCUUAACUGUGGGCUUGCAGCCGAUACGGGCAGACUAGAGUUCGGUAGGGGAGACUGGAAUUCCUGGUGUAGCGGUGAAAUGCGCAGAUAUCAGGAGGAACACCGGUGGCGAAGGCGGGCCUCUGGGCCGAUACUGACGCUGAGGAGCGAAAGCGUGGGGAGCAAACAGG
rnacentral:rRNA from 1 species